UGGGGUUGCAAUAUGCUGGAGCUGGAUAUGAAUUUCCAUCAGGAUGCCCUGUAGACUUCCCAUGUGGAAAGCCAUAACCAUUUAAUGCAGGGCGUGGUUUAUUUCUAGCAUUACGUAGCCAUUCAUUAAAGAUCUUCUCUGCUCUCUCUUUCUUCUCUUGCAGCUCAGCUUGUCUUUCUUUUUCUUUUUCCUUCUCUUUCUUCUUCUUUUCUGACUCUUCAGCUCUCUUCUUCUUUAACCAUUCAUUAUACUUCACUUUGGCCUUCUCUUGUAACAGCAUUUUUUCUAGUUCCCUUGUGGCUUUCUCUGCCAUUUCUUUGCUCAAUUUUUGUUCUCUUUCCCUCCUUUCCUCUUCUCUUUUUUUUUGCAUCCAUUCUCUGAGCUUCUUUUCAGCUGUCCUUUUCCUUCUCUCAAAUUCUUCCUUUUGCUUCAUUUUCUCAAGCUGUAUAUACAUUUCCUGUGCAGCUCUAGCUUGUAAGCGGGCACGUAGUUCCUUCUCUUUUCCAAUGAACCAUUCUUCCCAUGCUGAAAGAUUAUCUUUCAAAGGGAAUUGCUUGUUUGCCUCUGUUAUUUCAGAUCCAUCAUCAUUCCUGCUCACUGC
rnacentral:lncRNA from 1 species